GAUUAACGCUGGCGGCGUGCAUAACACAUGCAAGUCGAACGAUGAAGCUUUUUUGAUUUCUUCGGAAUGAUUAAAAGUGGAUUAGUGGCGGACGGGUGAGUAACGCGUGAGUAACCUGCCUUAGAGAAGGGGAUAGCCUUUGGAAACGAAGAAUAAUACCCUAUGAAACCAUAACCUCGCAUGAGGCCUUGGUCAAAGAUUUAUCGCUCUAAGAUGGACUUGCGUCUGAUUAGUUAGUUGGUGGGGUAACGGCCUACCAAGACAGCGAUCAGUAGCCGGCUUGAGAGAGUGUACGGCCACAUUGGGACUGAGACACGGCCCAGACUCCUACGGGAGGCAGCAGUGGGGAAUUUUGCACAAUGGGGGAAACCCUGAUGCAGCGACGCCGCGUGAUUUAGAAGGCCUUCGGGUUGUAAAAAUCUUUUCUAUGGGAAGAAAAUGACAGUACCAUAGGAAUAAGGACCGGCUAAUUACGUGCCAGCAGCCGCGGUAAUACGUAAGGUCCGAGCGUUGUCCGGAAUCAUUGGGCGUAAAGGGUACGUAGGCGGGUAAGCAAGUUAGAAGUGAAAUCCUAUAGCUCAACUAUAGUAAGCUUUUAGAACUGCUCAUCUUAAGGUAUGGAAGGGAAAGUGGAAUUCCUAGUGUAGCGGUGAAAUGCGCAGAUAUUAGGAGGAAUACCGGUGGCGAAGGCGACUUUCUGGCCAUAACCUGACGCUGAGGUACGAAAGCGUGGGUAGCAAACAGGAUUAGAUACCCUGGUAGUCCACGCCGUAAACGAUGAGUGUUAGGUGUCUGGAGUAAAUCUGGGUGCCGCAGCUAACGCAUUAAACACUCCGCCUGGGGAGUACGCGCGCAAGCGUA
rnacentral:rRNA from 1 species